UACGUAGGGUGCGAGCGUUAAUCGGAAUUACUGGGCGUAAAGCGUGCGCAGGCGGUUCUUUAAGUCAGAUGUGAAAGCCCCGGGCUCAACCUGGGAACGGCAUUUGAAACUGGCGGGCUGGAGUGUGGCAGAGGGGGGUGGAAUUCCACGUGUAGCAGUGAAAUGCGUAGAGAUGUGGAGGAACACCGAUGGCGAAGGCAGCCCCCUGGGCCAACACUGACGCUCAGGCACGAAAGCGUGGGGAGCAAACAGG
rnacentral:rRNA from 1 species